rnacentral:misc_RNA from 1 species
CCGAGUUGAUUCGAGCUCCGGCUCGACUCUCCCACCCAAUGUGUACCUACCUCUGUUGCUUUGGCGGGCCGCGGUCCUCCGCACCGGCGCCCUUCGGGGGCUGGCCAGCGCCCGCCAGAGGACCAUAAAACUCCAGUCAGUGAACUUCGCAGUCUGAAAACAGUUAAUAAACUA